rnacentral:rRNA from 1 species
UAUACAGGGUCAAAGGUAGUGAGCUUCAUUUCCUUAAAGAAUAAUAGAAGGAACCCUAUGUUAAUGAGGAGCACAAGCAAUAGCAUCCAUACAGCCUUUGGCAAUGUAAUGGAAAGAAAUGUCCAUCUAUCCCAAGGAACAAAAGCAAUUUCUCCCAUUAAUACGUGCUCCACAUCUAAAUGGACAUUACCCGCAAAUAAAGUAAUGAGGAGCACACCGGCUGCAAACAAGGACGUAAAGACCACACCAAUAGCUGCGUCCUCCUGUAUACCUGAAGAAUGUAGCAAUUGCACUAGGUAGGCUGUUAAAAUCCCUGCUACUGCUGCACCGACUAGCAUCCAAAAACCAUUUAAUGUUUGGGUAAUAAUAUACGCCAUUACAAUACCAAACAAUACGGUAUGGCUAAUCGCAUCAGCAAUCAUUGACAUUCUACGCAAG